GGCAGUUUUUUUUAAAUAUGUGUAGUAGGAGUUUUCCUUUUCUUUCUCCCAAGAGUAGAUAUGAAGGCUUGAGUUUAAAAUGGCCAGCCCGGGGUUGUGUGUGUGUAUGUGUGUUUGAGGAUUGAGGGACCUACUAAUAUUGAAGACCUACAAUGUGCCAGAGCCUAUGUGGAGCCCCCACUGGGCCUCAGGACUCAGAGAGCCAUUAGUUUUUCUGGGGGUCGGGGAAGGAAUCAGAGGUACUGCUAAUCCUUGGCUAGCCAGGAGUUCCACUGUCCGAGUGUGAAGUCUCUGAUCCUGACCCAGGCUUGUUUCCCUGUAUGAACCUAGCCUCCAUGGACCCCCUGAAACUGAAGGCUCCAGUCCUGCUGUGUGUGCAUGCUAAGUCACUUAGGUCGUGUCUGAUUCUUUGUGACCCUGUGGACCGUAGCCCACCACGCUCCGCUCCUCUGUCCAUGGGAUUCUCCAGGCAAGAAGAGUGGAGUGGGUUGCCGUGCCUGCCUCCAGGGGAUCUUCCCGACCCAGGGAUAGAACUCACGUCUCAUCAUGUUUCCUGCAUUGGCAGCGUUCAAUCUUUCCCAGAAUCAGAGUCUUUUCCGAUGAGUCGGCUCUUCAAAUCAGCCCAAGUAUCAGAGCUUCAGCUUCAGCAUCAGUCCCUCCAACAUGUAUUCAGGGUUGAUUUCCUUUAGGAUUGACUGAUUUGAUCUCCUUGUAGGCCAAGGGACUCUCAAGCGUCUUCUCCAGCACCGCAGUUCAAAAGCAUCAGUUCUUCGGCACUGAGACUUCUUUAUGGUCCAAUUCUCACUUCUGUACAUGACUACUGGAAAAACCAUAGCUUUGACUAGAUAGACCUUUGUCAGCAGAGUGGUAUCUCUACUUUUUAAUAUGCUGUCCAGGUUUGUCAUAAUUUUCGUCCAAGGAGCAAGCAUCCUUUAAUUUCAUGGCUGCAGUCACCGUCUGCAGCUAUUUAAUUGCUCCCUUUUGACAAAUGGACUGCAGACAUGGGAGAAGAUGGCUUUGGGGAGGCUGAGGAGUGGAGGUAGGGGAGACAGAACUCUUUGUACAUCAUUGCAACUUUUCUGAAAUAAUAGUCUGGAUGAGCUAAACCUAUCCAAAGUAAAAACUUCCUUUUCAUGAAGUCAACAUGAAUUUUGGCCCAGAUGGGGCUGUGUCUCUGGGGGAGGCUUAUGCUUCAGGCUACAGAAUACACGGAGCCCUUUGUCACCCUCGAGAAUCGGUGACGUUGGGUCAGGGGGCCUUGGCUCACCAGACAUGAGUGUAAGGCCGCCUCGGGGCCAAGAGGAUUGGAGGGAGGAGCAGGCUUGGGAACAAGAGGGAUAAGUACCCAACCCUUUCCUUUUUCUCCCCCUCUCCUCUGGAUUACCAGAAAGUCUUGUUGGUUCUGCCUCCAAAAUGCAUCCUGAUUUUGUUCUCUCUACUACCUGGCACCACCCAGCCUUCAUCCCUGCUCCAACCCAUCCCUCUGGCCUCUUCAGCCUCGUCUCCUCCAUCACUCUGUUCCAGCCACCCUGACCCCCUUGUCCAGGACUUUUCAGCCUCCGGGCCUUUGCACUGGCUAUUCCAUCUGCC
ensembl:lncRNA